rnacentral:rRNA from 1 species
UACGUAGGGUGCAAGCGUUGUCCGGAAUUAUUGGGCGUAAAGAGCUCGUAGGCGGUGUGUCACGUCGUUCGUGAAAACCUGCAGCUUAACUGUGGGCGUGCGGUCGAUACGGGCAUCACUGGAGUUCGGCAGGGGAGACUGGAAUUCCUGGUGUAGCGGUGAAAUGCGCAGAUAUCAGGAGGAACACCGGUGGCGAAGGCGGGUCUCUGGGCCGAUACUGACGCUGAGGAGCGAAAGCGUGGGGAGCAAACAGG